rnacentral:rRNA from 1 species
AUUGAACGCUGGCGGCAGGCCUAACACAUGCAAGUCGAGCGGAUGAAGGGAGCUUGCUCCUGGAUUCAGCGGCGGACGGGUGAGUAAUGCCUAUGAAUCUGCCUGGUAGUGGGGGAUAACGUCCGGAAACGGGCGCUAAUACCGCAUACGUCCUGAGGGAGAAAGUGGGGGAUCUUCGGACCUCACGCUAUCAGAUGAGCCUAGGUCGGAUUAGCUAGUUGGUUGGGUAAAGGCCUACCAAGGCGACGAUCCGUAACUGGUCUGAGAGGAUGAUCAGUCACACUGGAACUGAGACACGGAACAGACGACUACGGGAGGCAGCAGUGGGGAAUAUUGGACAAUGGGCGAAAGCAUGAUACAGACAUGCCGAGUGUGUGAAGAAGGUCUUAGGAUUGUAAAGCACUUUAAGUUGGGAGGAAGGGCAGUAAGUUAAUACCUUGCUGUAUUGACGUUAACAACAGAAUAAGCACCGGCUAACUUCGUG